rnacentral:rRNA from 1 species
GACGAACGCUGGCGGCGUGCUUAACACAUGCAAGUCGAACGAAGUGGCGAACGGGUGAGUAACGCGUAAUCAACCUGCCCUUCAGAGGGGGACAACAGCUGGAAACGACUGCUAAUACCGCAUACUGAAGGAGGUGAGUGCGUCUGAUUAGCAAGUUGGAGGGGUAACGGCCCACCAAGGCGAUGAUCAGUAGCCGGUCUGGGGGGAUGAACGGCCACAUUGGGACUGAGACACGGCCCAGACUCCUACGGGAGGCAGCAGUGGGGAAUCUUCCGCAAUGGAGGAAAGUCUGACGGAGCAACGCCGCGUGGGUGAUGACGGCCUUCGGGAUGUAAAGCUCUGUUAAUCGGGACGCGGUACCGAAAUAGAAAGCCACGGCUAACUACGUGCCAGCAGCCGCGGUAAUUC